AGUGAACGCUGGCGGUAGGCCUAACACAUGCAAGUCGAACGGCAGCACAGAGGAGCUUGCUCCUUGGGUGGCGAGUGGCGGACGGGUGAGGAGUACAUCGGAAUCUACUCUGUCGUGGGGGAUAACGUAGGGAAACUUACGCUAAUACCGCAUACGACCUACGGGUGAAAGCAGGGGAUCUUCGGACCUUGCGCGAUUGAAUGAGCCGAUGUCGGAUUAGCUAGUUGGCGGGGUAAAGGCCCACCAAGGCGACGAUCCGUAGCUGGUCUGAGAGGAUGAUCAGCCACACUGGAACUGAGACACGGUCCAGACUCCUACGGGAGGCAGCAGUGGGGAAUAUUGGACAAUGGGCGCAAGCCUGAUCCAGCCAUACCGCGUGGGUGAAGAAGGCCUUCGGGUUGUAAAGCCCUUUUGUUGGGAAAGAAAUCCAGCCGGCUAAUACCUGGUUGGGAUGACGGUACCCAAAGAAUAAGCACCGGCUAACUUCGUGCCAGCAGCCGCGGUAAUACGAAGGGUGCAAGCGUUACUCGGAAUUACUGGGCGUAAAGCGUGCGUAGGUGGUUAUUUAAGUCCGUUGUGAAAGCCCUGGGCUCAACCUGGGAACUGCAGUGGAUACUGGAUGACUAGAAUGUGGUAGAGGGGUAGCGGAAUUCCUGGUGUAGCAGUGAAAUGCGUAGAGAUCAAGAGGAACAUCCAUGGCGAAGGCAGCUACCUGGACCAACAUUGACACUGGAGGCACGAAAAGCGUGGGGGAACAAACAGG
rnacentral:rRNA from 1 species